ensembl:ncRNA H14E04.6 ncRNA
ACUCGGUGUUUGCGUACUUUUGGCGCUACCGUACCCCGUGAAAUUCAAAA